GAAGCUGAAGGACGCAUGUGACGAGUGGCUGCAAAGAUCGUAACCGUGCUGCAGGCUCAGCUGUGGGGAAUCCUGGAGGAGCUGGACGCUAAAAGAGCCACGAGAGCCAAGGUGGAGAAGCAGAGGGCAGAGAUAUCGCGUGAUCUGGAGGACCUCAGUGAUAGACGGGAGGAGUCACCGUCGCCCAGACUGAGCUGAACAGGAAGUGUGGGGAGGGUGGACCUGCUGAAGCUGUGGCGGGAGCUGGAGAAGCAGCUGGAGAACAUAACCAGGCUGAAGAUGAAACUGGAGGAGGACAAACAGAACAUGAAGGCCGAGAUCAAAGACCUCAGUGUCACCAUGGAUGCCACUCA